rnacentral:rRNA from 1 species
GACGAACGCUGGCGGCGUGCUUAACACAUGCAAGUCGAACGGAAAGGCCCUGCUUUUGUGGGGUGCUCGAGUGGCGAACGGGUGAGUAACACGUGAGUAACCUGCCCUUGACUUUGGGAUAACUUCAGGAAACUGGGGCUAAUACCGGAUAGGAGCUCCUGCUGCAUGGUGGGGGUUGGAAAGUUUCGGCGGUUGGGGAUGGACUCGCGGCUUAUCAGCUUGUUGGUGGGGUAGUGGCUUACCAAGGCUUUGACGGGUAGCCGGCCUGAGAGGGUGACCGGCCACAUUGAGACUGAGAUACGGCGCAGACUCCUACGGGAGGCAGCAGUGGGGAAUAUGGCACAAUGGGCGGAAGCCUGAUGCAGCAACGCCGCGUGCGGGAUGACGGCCUUCGGGUUGUAAACCGCUUUCGCCUGUGACGAAGCGUGAGUGACGGUAAUGGGUAAAGAAGCACCGGCUAACUACGUG